GGGAAGUGAGGAGCGUCUCUGCCUGGCCGCCCAUCGUCUGGGAUGUGAGGAGCCCCUCUGCCUGGCUGCCCAGUCUGGAAAGUGAGGAGCGUCUCUGCCCGGCCGCCAUCCCAUCUAGGAAGUGAGGAGCGCCUCUUCCCGGCCGCCAUCCCAUCUAGGAAGUGAGGAGCGUCUCUGCCCGGCCGCCCAUCGUCUGAGAUGUGGGGAGCACCUCUGCCCCGCCGCCCCGUCUGGGAUGUGAGGAGCACCUCUGCCUGGCCGCGAC
rnacentral:lncRNA from 10 species